ensembl:lncRNA
GAACGCCACAAAGAAGUUGCUGAAGUGGAAGGACAGGGCACUCUCAUAGGCACGCAGCCACCUGCGGGACAGCACAACGCUGGGACCAUCCCAGCCCAUAAUAUCCCAUCCCAUAAUAUCCCAUCCCCAUCCCCAUCCCAUCCCAUAAUAUCCCAUCCCAUCCCAUAAUAUCUCAUCCCAUAAUAUCCCAUCCCCAUCCCAUCCCUUCUCAUCCCCUUCUAUCCCAUCCCAUCCCCAUCCCAUAAUACCCCAUCCCAUCCCCAUCCCAUCCCAUAAUAUCCCAUCCCAUCCCCAUCCCAUCCCAUAAUAUCCCAUCCCAUCCCCUUCCAUCCUAUCCCAUCCAUCCCAUCCCCAUCCCAUCCCCUUCUAUCCCAUCCCAUCCUAUCCCAUCCCCUUACAUCCCAUCCCAUUCCCAUUCCAUCCCAUAAUAUCCCAUCCCAUACCCAUCCCAUCCCAUAAUAUCCCAUCCCAUCCCACAAUAUCACAUCCCCAACCCAUCCCUAUCCCAUAAUAUCCCAUCCCAUCCCCAUCCCAUCCCAUAAUAUCCCAUCCCAUCCAAUCCAUCCCAUCCCAUCCCCUUUCAUCCCAUCCCAUCCCAUCCCAUAAUAUCCCAUCCCAUCCCCAUCCCAUCCCAUAAUACCCCAUCCCAUCCCAUCCCAUAAUAUUCCAUCCCAUCCCAUCCCAUAAUAUCCCAUCCCAUCCCAUCCCAUCCCAUCCCAUCCCAUCCCAUCCCAUCCCAUUCCCUCCCAUGUCCCCAUAUGUCACCUCCAUGUCCCUCUAUGUCCCCCCCCAUGUCCCCAAUGACCCCCCAGUGUCCCCUCACCUUGCAAAUGUGCUCCUGGGGGGGGGAAACAUAAAGCAAACAUCAGUGGGGCAGAUUUGGGGGUCCCAGGGGGGUAUUUGGGGUCUAUGGGGUGGAAUUAGGGUUGGAGAAUGGGAUCUGGGGGUCCCAGGGGGGUAUUUGGGGUCUAUGGGGUGGAAUUAGGGUUGGAGGAUGGGAUUUGGGGGGCCCAGGGGGGUAUUUGGGGUCUAUGGGGUGGAAUUAGGGUUGGAGGGAGGGAUUUGGGGUCCUGGGGGGUGUUUUGGGGUCCCAGGGUUGGAUUUGGGGUCCUGGGGGGUUGUUUUGGGGUCCCAGGGUGGGAUUUGGGGCCCUGGGGGGUGUUUUGGGGUCCCAGGGUGGGAUUUAGGGUCCUGGGGGGUGUUUUGGGGUCCUGGGGGUUAUUAUGGGGUCCCAGGGUUGGAUUUGUGGUACUGGGGGGUAUUAUGGGGUCCCAGGGUGGGAUUUGGGGAUACUGGGGGUUGUUUUGGGGUCCCCAGGGUGGGAUUUGGGGUCCUGGGGGGUAUUAUGGGGUCCCAGGGUGGGAUUUAGGGUCCUGGGGGUUGUUUUGGGGUCCCCAGGGUGGGAUUUGGGGUCCUGGGGGGUUUUUAUGGGGUCCCAGGGUGGGAUUUGGGGAUACUGGGGGGUGUUUUGGGGUCCCAGGGUGGGAUUUGGGGAUACUGGGGGGUGUUUUGGGGUCCUGGGGGGUGUUUUGGGGUCCCCAGGGUGGGAUUUGGGGCCCUGGGGGUUGUUUUGGGGUCCCAGGG